rnacentral:rRNA from 1 species
UACGUAGGGUGCAAGCGUUAAUCGGAAUUACUGGGCGUAAAGCGUGCGCAGGCGGUUGUGCAAGACAGAGGGGAAAUCCCCGGGCUUAACCUGGGAACUGCCUUUGUGACUGCACGGCUAGAGUGUGUCAGAGGGGGGUAGAAUUCCACGUGUAGCAGUGAAAUGCGUAGAUAUGCGGAGGAACACCGAUGGCGAAGGCAGUGGGCUGGGCCGGCACUGACGCUGAGGAGCGAAAGCGUGGGGAGCGAACAGG